rnacentral:misc_RNA from 1 species
GAAAUGCGAUACGUAAUGUGAAUUGCAGAAUUCCGUGAAUCAUCGAAUCUUUGAACGCAUCUUGCGCUUCUUGGUAUUCCAGGAAGCAUGCCUGUUUGAGUCUCAGUUGACUCUCUGACCGCUUCGGCGGCCAGGAUCUGAGCGGACCAGCGGUUAACCGCUCGCCGCUCUAAACGCAUGCAGCCGGCCUCUAGAGUGUUGGACUCGGAAUGGCUUGAUAAUGUCUUUGACUUAUUAGUUAUCCGGAUUCAGCGUCUCCUUAGGCCAAGGCGCCAGAUUGUCUGUGCCUGCGAAAGCGGUACUCACACUCGACACCUUGAGCUCAAAUCAGGCAAGACUACCCGCUGAACUUAA